UACGUAGGGGGCAAGCGUUGUCCGGAAUCAUUGGGCGUAAAGAGCGUGUAGGCGGUCCGGUAAGUCGGCUGUGAAAGUCCAGGGCUCAACCCUGGGAUGCCGGUCGAUACUGCCGGACUAGAGUUCGGAAGAGGCGAGUGGAAUCCUGGUGUAGCGGUGAAAUGCGCAGAUAUCAGGAGGAACACCGGUGGCGAAGGCGGAUCUCUGGGCCUUACCUGACGCUCAGGCGCGAAAGCUAGGGGGAGCGAACAGG
rnacentral:rRNA from 1 species